rnacentral:rRNA from 1 species
GUGCCAGCCGCCGCGGUAAUACGGAGGGUGCAAGCGUUAAUCGGAAUUACUGGGCGUAAAGCGCGCGUAGGUGGUUUAGUAAGUUGGGUGUGAAAUCCCCGGGCUUAACCUGGGAGCUGCAUUCAAAACUGCUAGACUAGAGUACGAGAGAGGGGGGUAGAAUUUCAGGUGUAGCGGUGAAAUGCGUAGAGAUCUGAAGGAAUACCGGUGGCGAAGGCGGCCCGCGGGAUUGAUACUGACACUGAGGUGCGAAAGCGGGGGUAGCAAACAGGAUUAGAUACCCCAGUAGUCC